rnacentral:rRNA from 1 species
GACGAACGCUGGCGGCGUGCUUAACACAUGCAAGUCGAACGGAAAGGCCCUGCUUUUGUGGGGUGCUCGAGUGGCGAACGGGUGAGUAACACGUGAGUAACCUGCCCUUGACUUUGGGAUAACUUCAGGAAACUGGGGCUAAUACCGGAUAGGAGCUCCUGCUGCAUGGUGGGGGUUGGAAAGUUUCGGCGGUUGGGGAUGGACUCGCGGCUUAUCAGCUUGUUGGUGGGGUAGUGGCUUACCAAGGCUUUGACGGGUAGCCGGCCUGAGAGGGUGACCGGCCACAUUGGGACUGCGAUACGGACCAGACUCCUACGGGAGGCAGCAGUGGGAAAUAUUGCACAACGGGGGGAAGCCUGAUGCAGAAACGCCGCGUGCGGGAUGACGGCCUUCGGGUUGUAAACCGCUUUCGCCUGUGACGAAGCGUGAGUGACGGUAAUGGGUAAAGAAGCACCGGCUAACUACGUG